CCUACGGGAGGCAGCAGUGGGGAAUCUUCCGCAAUGGGCGAAAGCCUGACGGAGCAACGCCGCGUGAUGGAAUGAAGGCCUGCGGGUUGUAAAGAUCUGGUGACAGGGACGAAGAAGCAAUGCAAAUAGAUUUGUGUAUGACGGUACCGGGUGAGAAAGCGCCGGCUAACUACGUGCCAGCAGCCGCGGUAAUACGUAGGGAGCAAGCGUUGUCCGGAAUUACUGGGCGUAAAGGGCGCGUAGGUGGGCGCUUAAGUCAGGUGUGAAACCGCCGGGCUCAACCUGGAGACUGCACUUGAAACUGGGUGUCUUGCGUGCAGGAGCGGCAAGUGGCAUUC
rnacentral:rRNA from 1 species